GAACUUAGCAGAGAUGCUUUGGUGCCUUCGGGAACUCUGAGACAGGUGCUGCAUGGCUGUCGUCAGCUCGUGUUGUGAAAUGUUGGGUUAAGUCCCGCAACGAGCGCAACCCUUUAUCCUUUGUUGCCAGCGGUUAGGCCGGGAACUCAAAGGAGACUGCCAGUGAUAAACUGGAGGAAGGUGGGGAUGACGUCAAGUCAUCAUGGCCCUUACGAGUAGGGCUACACACGUGCUACAAUGGCGCAUACAAAGAGAAGCGACCUCGCGAGAGCAAGCGGACCUCAUAAAGUGCGUCGUAGUCCGGAUUGGAGUCUGCAACUCGACUCCAUGAAGUCGGAAUCGCUAGUAAUCGUGGAUCAGAAUGCCACGGUGAAUACGUUCCCGGGCCUUGUACACACCGCCCGUCACACCAUGGGAGUGGGUUGCAAAAGAAGUAGGUAGCUUAACCUUCGGGAGGGCGCUUACCACUUUGUGAUUCAUGACUGGGGUGAAGUCGUAACAAGGUAGGCGUAGUGCU
rnacentral:rRNA from 1 species